UAUAUACAUUCUUCUUCUUUCUUGCGUAUUCACUCACACUUCUCUCCCUACUUUAUAUGGGGCGUGUCUCUUUGUUGACUAGACAGAUCUUAAGGACAUUGUAACAGCUAUAUAUGUGCUUUAGUCCAGAUGCAAAUUAAGGGUGCAGUAAUAGGUUCCAUGACAGGUAACUGUGGUUUUUACCAUAUACCCGGUAUGUUUAUUUGCCUGCAGUUAGUUGUUAAGGUUACUGUUUAAUGACUUGACAACAGCUAGAAUAAUAUAAUGCAUAAUAUUGUACAUCUCAUUCUCACUUCUCAGAUAGCCAUCUACUUAAAUGGACAGUGAUCAACUUGCGUGGGAAGAAGAAGGUUCCAGGCAAAAGGAUCAAUUAGAAACAAUGGAGUAUAUUUUGCAGCUGAGGCCCCCAAGCUCGAAGAUGAGUUUGAAUUAUAACGAGUUGACUGGACCUUCAGAAGCAAUUAGCUUUUAUGACUUCUUGUUAGAUACUUGCUUUCAUUAAUAGUAUGUGGUUUGGUGCUUUAUUUUGAUAUAUACAUAUACACAUACUGAAAGACUUGUUUACUUGUA